CACACCCAUCGGCUUUCUCUACCGUGGACCCAUACCCAUCGGCUCUCUCUCCCUCACCACAAGAUCCUUUCUCCCUCUCUCCCCUUGCCACCCCCAUACCCAUUCAUUUUUCCUCACCAUACCCAUUCCGAUUUUGCUUGAGUGAUUCAGAAAUUGUUGAUGCUAAGCCUCUUGUGCUUUCAAGAGGAACAUUGCAGACUGCUGAUUCAAAGGAACCAUUUGCAAGAAAAUGAGUUGGAGCAACCUAACCUUGAAAAAGGUCUAAAGACGGGUACAAGUGUUGUUCAAGAAAUCAAGUGCAAGCUUUAUGCGAAGUUCCAUGCACUAAUUUUUGCCCAUUUGUUUUGAAGAAAAGGUUUCAA